rnacentral:rRNA from 1 species
UACGGGAGGCAGCAGUGGGGAAUAUUGCACAAUGGGCGCAAGCCUGAUGCAGCCAUGCCGCGUGUAUGAAAAAGGCCUUCGGGUUGUAAAGUACUUUCAGUCGUGAGGAAGGUGUUAAGGUUAAUAACCUUAGCAAUUGACGUUAGCGACAGAAGAAGCACCGGCUAACUCCGUGCCAGCAGCCGCGGUAAUACGGAGGGUGCGAGCGUUAAUCGGAAUUACUGGGCGUAAAGGGCACGCAGGCGGUUAAUUAAGUUGGAUGUGAAAUCCCCGGGCUUAACCUGGGAAUGGCAUUCAAGACUGGUUAGCUAGAGUCUUGUAGAGGGGGUAGAAUUCCAUGUGUAGCGGUGAAAUGCGUAGAGAUGUGGAGGAAUACCGGUGGCGAAGGCGGCCCUGGACAAAGACUGACGCUCAUGUGCGAAAGCGUGGGGAGCAAACAGGGAUUAGAUACC